rnacentral:rRNA from 1 species
UGGUGGAGUGAUUUGUCUGCUUAAUUGCGUUAACGAACGAGACCUUAACCUACUAAAUAGUUACGCCAACCUUUUGGUUGGUGGCCAACUUCUUAGAGGGACAAUAUGAGUCAAUCAUAUGGAAGUUUGAGGCAAUAACA